AGCUCCAAUAGCGUAUAUUAAAGUUGCUGCAGUUAAAAAGCUCGUAGUUGCAUUUCCGAGGCAAGGGAUUAGUCCGACCUUUGGUGGGUAUUUAAUCCUCUUGCCUCGUCCUUGAGUGGUGCUUCUUGGUAUUAAGUUAUCGAGGAGAUAGCCGCUCAUCGUUUACUGUGAGAAAAUUAGAGUGUUCAAAGCAGGCUUAUGCCGUUGAAUAUAUUAGCAUGGAAUAAUAAGAUAGGACCUCGGUACUAUUUUGGUGGUUUGAGAACCAAGGUAAUGAUGAAUAGGGACAGUUGGGGGUAUGCGUAUUCAGUUGUCAGAGGUGAAAUUCUUAGAUUUACGGAAGACGAACUACUGCGAAAGCAUUUACCAAGGAUGUUUUCA
rnacentral:rRNA from 1 species